CCAGACUCCUACGGGAGGCAGCAGUGGGGAAUAUUGCACAAUGGGGGGAACCCUGAUGCAGCGACGCCGCGUGGGUGAAGGAGCACCUCGGUGCGUAAAGCCCUAUCGGCAGGGAAGAAAAGCGAACAGGUUCGCCUGGACGGUACCUGACUAAGAAGCCCCGGCUAACUACGUGCCAGCAGCCGCGGUAAUACGUAGGGGGCAAGCGUUAUCCGGAUUUACUGGGUGUAAAGGGAGCGCAGGUGGCAAGGCAAGCCAGAAGUGAAAACCCGGGGCUUAACCCCGCGGAUUGCUUUUGGAACUGUCUGGCUGGAGUGCAGGAGGGGCAGGCGGAAUUCCUGGUGUAGCGGUGAAAUGCGUAGAUAUCAGGAGGAACACCGGUGGCGAAGGCGGCCUGCUGGACUGUAACUGACACUGAGGCUCGAAAGCGUGGGGAGCAAACAGGAUUAGAUACCCGUGUA
rnacentral:rRNA from 1 species